GUGCUUGCAUCGGCAGCACAUCCACUAAAGUUGAGAUGAUGCAGAUAUUAGCAUGGCCCCUGCACAAGGAUGACAUGCAAAUUCGCGAAGCGUUCCUUAUUUUU
ensembl:snRNA U6 U6 spliceosomal RNA